ensembl:lncRNA
GAUCAUGUGAUAGACUGGAUGUUACAUGUGACACUGAAGGCUGGAGUAAUGAUGCUGAAAAUUCAGCUUUGCAUCACAGGAAUUAUUUUUUAGAAGUAUAUUCAAAUAGAAAACUAUUAUUUUAAGUUGUAAUAAUAUUUCACAAUAUUACUGUUUUUUCUGUAUUUUUCAAAUAAAUGCAGGCUUGAUGAGCAGAAGAAACUUCUUUCAAAAACAUUAAAAAUAGUAAUGUUUCCAAACUUUUGGUCUGUACUGUAUAUAUAUAUGUAUAAUAAGCUAUAUUAGAUAUUGUAAUAUUAUAUAAUGCUGUGCGCUAUCUGUCACGCCCACUGAAGGCUCGCUGAAGUGAACUAACCCUGGAACAUAACCUGCUCCGGAGCAGGUUAAGUUCAGAGAGUGAGUUGCUAUGACUACUAACAUACCCUGAAAGUUACCUCCAUUUUUGGAACCGAAAGUUGAGGUUAUCCACUUACUUACUCUUAAACAUACCCGGGUAUGUCACAUAACCUGCUUUCUGGAAUACCCCCCUGGUUUUUCGUGUUUCCUUGCCGUUGUUUAUGGUUCUUGUUUUUGGACUGCUUACCUGGAUUGUGACCUUUGCCUGGCUGAUUAUGAUAUUUGGAUUAUCCCAAUAAAACACUGCAAUUGGACCUACCUCUUUGUGUGCGUGUCGUGACAGAAGGACUCCGUCCUGCCUAGAUCCAGCGGUGUGGGAUUUCGAAUCUGUUCCCCAGCCACCAUGGAGGAACGGAGGGGGAGAUUCCUGAACUUAACCACCCUUCGUCAAAGGGGGAGUGAGGUGGGUGGCCUGGCGCAAAUGUUUUGGACCAUGGCAGUCGGGCUAGGUUAUAAUGAUGCAGCACUGAAAGACUUAUUUAACGAUUGCCUGGAUGACCCUUUGCCUCAAUGGGAGAUGAAGGGGUUGGAGAUCCUGGACUUUUGGGGGUUUACCCAUUACCUGCGCCAUCGUGCUCAGUGGGAUACAUCAACCACACCUGAGUCUCCAGACAAGAUGGCUGCCAGCCCAGCGCCACAGCACAGAAUGGCCGCCAGCCCAGCGCCACAGCACAAGAUGGCUGCCAGCCCAGCGCCACAGCACAAGAUGGCCACCAGCCCAGCGCCACAGCACAAGAUGGCCGCCAGCCCAGCGCCACAGCACAAGAUGGCCGCCAGCCCAGCGCCACAGCACAAGAUGGCCGAAGCGCCACCUGUGUUGCCAGACAAGAUGACUGACUCAACGCCUGAGUCUUCCGUCAAGGUGCCACCGACUCGCCAUCAUAGAGGGCGGAGGAGGAGACAGGCGUCUACCGUUCCUCAAAGCCCGGAGGACGUUCCCGAGCAGGCCGCUGCCGUCCAGGAGGAGGUUCCCGAGCAGGCCGCUGCCGUCCAGGAGGACGUUCCCGAUGCGGAGGCCAAGGUGGUGGCCGAGGCGGUGGCCGAGGCGGUGCCCGAUGCUGUUCCAGAGGUCGAGGCGGUGCCCGAUGCUGUUCCGGAGGUCGAGGCGGUGCCCGAUGCAGUUCCGGAGGCCGAGGCGGUGCCAGAUGCUGUUCCGGAGGUCGAGGCGGUGCCCGAUGCCGAGCCCGAGGCGGAGCCCGAGGCCGUUCCCGAGGCGGUGCCCGUGCCCGAGGCCGUUCCAGAGGCGGUGCCCGAUGCCGAGGCGCCUCACGUCUCCACAGGCCGUCCAGAGCACCUUCAGGUCUCCACAGGCCGUCCAGAGCACCUUCACGUCUCCACAGGCCGUCCAGAGCACCUUCACGUCUUCGCAGGGCCUCCGGAAUGGCAGGUUCCGCUCUGGUUGCUCAAAUGGCGGGUUCCUCCCUGGCCGUCGGCACAACCGGAACUGACGGAUCCUCCGUGGCCACCUGAACUGCCUGGUCCCUCGUGGUCCCCUGAACUUUCGGGUCCACCCUGGCCCCCUGAACUGAUUGAUCCACCUUGGCUACCAGUGGAGCCAUCGCUGCCUGUCCCUGUUCCCC